rnacentral:rRNA from 1 species
CCUACGGGUGGCAGCAGUGGGGGAUAUUGCACAAUGGGCGCAACCCUGACGCAGCAACGCCGCGUGAGCGAAGAAGGCUUUCGGGUUGUAAACUUCUUUUAUCAGGGACGAAACAGAUGACGGUACCUGAAGAAUAAGCCACGACGAACGACGUACCAGCCGCCGCGGUAAUACGUGGGUGGCAGGCUUUAUCCGGAUUUACGGGGUGUAAAGGCGGUGUAGGCGGGAAAGCACGUCAGAUGUGAACACCAGGGGCUCAACCUGGGGCCUGCGUUGGAAACUGUCUUUUGUGAGGGCGGGGGAGGAAGACGGAAUUCUGAGGGUAGCGGUGAAAGGCGUAGAUAUUAGGAGGACCAC